rnacentral:rRNA from 1 species
CCUACGGGUGGCAGCAGUGAGGAAUAUUGGUCAAUGGACGAGAGUCUGAACCAGCCAAGUAGCGUGAAGGAUGACUGCCCUAUGGGUUGUAAACUUCUUUUAUAUGGGAAUAAAAUGUUCCACGUGUGGGAUUUUGUAUGUCCCAUAUGAAUAAGGAUCGGCUAACUCCGUGACAGCAGCCGCUGUAAUACGGAGGAUACGAGCGUUAUCAGGAUUUAUUGGGUUUAAAGGGCGCGUAGGUGGAUUGUGAAAUCAGUUGAGAAAGUUUGCUGCUCAACCGUAAAAUUGCAGUUGAAAAUGGCAGUCUUGAGUACAGUAGAGGUGUGCGGAAUUCGUGGUGUAGCGGUGUAAUGCUUAGAUAUCACGAAGAACGCCGAUUGCGAAGGCAGUUCACUGGACUGCAACUGACACUGAGGCUCGAAAGUGUGGGUAUCAAACAGGAUUAGAUACCCCUGUAGUC